UUAAAAGCUUGGCUCUUGCCAAAAUCAUUCUCGGGAAUACCUUAGUCGAGUCAUCUAACCGAAUCCACCAAGGCUGUUAAAAAAUUUGUAUACACGUAAACAUAUUUUUAGUUUGGAAAACACAACCGUUCCUUAGCGUUAGCAGAGUUCAUCAUCACGAGGUGGUUCGGCGUGACGUGAACUCUAACCAUAUCUCAGGAGAUACCCUACGCACCUCUCCGAUCGAGGUACGAAUAUAAUCAGAUUUUGUGCCCCUCUAAUAGGCUGGUCCACAGAACCCGCCCAUUGCAGCAAGCUAAACCCACCAUACAAUAAAAAUUCAACAGCAUGACAUGGCAAUUUUAUCAUUAUCCAGCCUAUCAAGGCAAACAACAGUUUAUACAUUUUCAACACAAAUACCAAUUCAACCAUUCAUGCCAAUAUUGCCAUAAGCCAAUCAAUUAGAACCAUAAAUUCACAAUACAUCAAAUGGUCUCCAAUUACUCUAUUUUCAAAGCCAUCAUUUAAUUUCAAGACAAUUUAUAAAAUCAUUUCAUUUAAACACAUUUUAUUUAUAAAACUUAGAAAGUAACCAUUUAAACUCAUUUUUCAUAACAUUCACAAAAUCGAAUAAAAAGACCAUUUUAGAUAAUUAAAAUGAUGAUAAGGUUACUCACCAUUUUGGGAGUCGAAUUUUUAGAGUAAUUCGACUAUCGAUCAUCGGGUACAAUUUCUUUGCCCUUAUCGGAGGAUUCACCACCUAGACAUAAUGCACAAUCAAGCAAUUUACCACAUUGGUGCUAAACCAUUAUAAAAUUAUAUGGAUGCAUGAAAUGGAAUGCAAAUUGUUCGGAUUAUUGUCUAAACAUGAUGUUCUACACAAAUUCAAUUGUGUACCUAAAUAAAACGGUAUUGACCUAAAUCGAUCUAUCACUCGAUUAAUUGGCCAAUAUGCCCAAUUCAACUCCAAUUAACUCCAUUUUUCUUCCAAUUCUCCAAACCAUCAAACACAAGUCAAAUAGCAUAAAAUUUAGCAAAAUGAUCUUCACAUUUUCUCUUGGGAAUUUCGGCCAUGGUGGGUGCAUCAACACUAUAAUUUUUCCUACUUGAUUUUCUCACCGUAAUUCAUCAUUUCCUAACCAAUUCACUUGAAAUAAAAUCAAAUCCACCAUACACACUCUACAUGGAAAAUUCGGCCAAUGAUGGGUAAUGGGAGGAAGUGAAUUUUUCUUGUUGAUUUUUCAUGCUACACAUCACUAACUAUCUAAAAACACUAAAAUACAUUGAAAUCUAACCAAAUCAAGCAUCAAAACGCCUCCCCCUAUGUCCGGCCAGCAAAGGAUUCAUCAUGAUUUCAUGUGAUUCAACCAUGAAAAAUAAGAAAAAAAAUGCUUAAGAAAGAGAGAUCUCAAGUUAGAAUUGAAAAAUCUUACCUUUUGUCACUUGAUUCUUUGAAAUUUUGUGAAUUUCUCUUGAAUUUCUUAGCUAGGUUUUUGUUCUUCUUCUUUUCUUCCCUUUUCUUCCUUUGGCCGGCCAAGAGAAAUGAGUUGGGACGGUUAUGGGCUGAUUUUUAAAGCCAAAUAAAAAAUAAUCCAAGCUUGACACUUGUCACCAUGUUAUUGGUCCAUUUUUAAAUUCUUAACUAUUAACCUUUCUUUCUCCACCACAUAAAAUCCUUCAAGUAUCCAUAAUAAUAAUGGGUGAAAUUCAUGUGCUGGACAAGUGUUGGGUGUGUAAAAUUACCAUUUUGCCCUUGGGGUGGCAAAAUGACUAUUUUACCUUUAUCCUCGAAAAAACGUCGAAAUUAAAAUUUUUCACUUCUCAAACUCAAAUUAUACCCCAAAUGAUCAACCUUAGUCAAAAAUUUCAUCCAACACUAACAUCUUAACCUCGGGUAGCAAAAUGACCAUUUUGGCCCUAGGUCAUGAAAAUUUCAAUUUAACUCCAAAUCGGUCUUCGAACUCCGAAUCACCAUUUUAAGUCAUUCUAAGGUUUUAAAAUUCUCAAUUUCAUCUUAAAAUCUUUAUUUAGUCUAGCUCGAGGCUUAAUUUAACUUAGUUGUACCAUUCAGUACACUAUUGUCUUUUUGACAAUUUUUCGGGGUUUUUCAAGUAUGCAAGCAUAUUGUCAAUCACAUGAAUGACUUGGCAAGUAUUUUAUAAGGUCAGGCUUGACAGCACUACCUCCUUAAAAUAAAAUUUUGACCUCAAAAUUUCACUUACCGGAUUCGAAGAAAAGAUGUGGAUAUUAGUUUCUCAUCUGGUGCUCGACUUCCCACGUUAUCUCCUCCAUUCGAGCAUUCUUCCACAAUACUUUCACCAUUGGAAUGCUCUUGUUCCUUAGUACUCGAUCCUUUCAAUCUAGAAUAUGUACAGGCUGCACCUCGAACUUCAAAUCUUCAUGCAACUCAAUCGGUUGUGUCUCUAGAUUGUGGGAGGGAUCGGGAACAUACUUUUUCAACAUCGACACGUGGAAGACAUUAUGAAUCCGAUCUAACUCUGGGGGUAAUUCAAGUCUAGAAGCCAUUAGCCCAAUCCUUUCAAUGAUACGAAAGGGUCUAACGUAUCUCGGAUUAAGCUUUCCCCGCUUCGCGAAUCGAAUCACACCUUUCAUUAUCCAAUAAAUACCACAAAUUAUCACAAUAGUGUAAUCAAUUGAGAUUUAAUACUUAGAAUUUUCAAAUUAUUACCUUUUUAAGGAGAAACCUUAAGAAAAACUUUAUCGUCGACUUCAAACUCCAAAUCUUUCCUUCGUUUAUCAAAAUAACUCUUCUACCUAUCUUGAGCUAUCUUUAAUCGCUCUCGAAUAACCUUGAUCUUGUCAUUUGUCAGAUCAAUCAAUUCCACAUUAAACAAUUUUCUCUCACCCACUUCAUCCCAACAGAGCGGAGUUCGGCAUUUUCUUCCAUACAGAGCAUCGUAUGGUGCCAUCCCAAUACUAGACUGAAAACUGUUAUUAUACAUGAACUCCACCAAUGGCAAGUGUCUGUCCCAGCUCCCAAUAAAGUCAAUAACACAAGCCCGUAACAUAUCCUCCAAGGUCUGAAUAGUUCUCUAAGAUUGACCAUCUGUUUGCGGAUGAAAGGUAGUGCUAAAUCUCAAAUUAGUUCUGAGAGCUUUCUGAAAUUUCGACCAAAAUUUUAGAAGUAAACGGAGGGUCUCGAUCUGACACAAUAGAAACUGGAACUCCAUGUAAUCUCACAAACUCAUAUAUAUAAAGUCUAGCCAGUUUCUCAAUAGAAUACAUGCUAUGGAUAGCUAAGAAAUGGGCGGACUUAGUCAAUCUAUCCACAAUCACCCAAAUAGCAUCCUUCCCACUCUAUGUCCACGGCAAACCCAAUACAAAGUCCAUAGUCACGUGUUCCCACUUCCAUUCAGGAAUCGACAAAGGCUGAAGAGUACUUGAUGGUUUUUUAUGCUCCGCCUUAAUCUGUUGGCGUGUAGGACAUUUUGUUACAAACUCUACUAUGUCUCGUUUCAUACUCGGCCACCAAUAACUUUCUUUAAUAGUCAUAUACAUCUUGGUGCUUCCGGGAUGUAAAGCGUAGGUGAAAGAAUGAGCUUCCUCUAGAAUAGCUCGUCUCAACUGAUCAUCCUUAGGAACAUAAAUCUAGUCUCUAAGCAUCAAAGUACCAUUAUCACUGAGUCUAAACUCACUAGUUUCUCUAUUUUGCAGCUUUUGAACUUUCUGUUUCAACCAAUCAUCGGAUUUUUGUAAUUCUCUGAUCUGAUUCAACAAUGAAGGUCUCACAACGAAACUAGCAAGUAGGGUUCCAUCUUCACCAUUAUUCAACUGAAUCCCUAGAGACUUCAUCUCAAGUAACAUCGAAAAAUAAGAACUCCGAAGCAUUGCUAUCGACGAUGGGGAUUUACGAUUUAAGGCAUCCGCUACAACAUUUGCCUUUUCAAGGUGAUAAUCAAUCACUAAGUCAUAAUCCUUGAUCAACUCUAGCCACCGUCUUUGUCUCAAAUUAAGUUCUUUUUGGGUGAGCAAAUAUUUCAAACUUUUAUGAUCAGUAAAAAUCCGACAAUGCUCACCAUAUAAAUAAUGCCUCCAAAUCUUCAAUGUAAAGACUACUACUGUUAACUCCAAAUCAUGGGUAGGGUAAUUCGUCUCAUGCUUCUUCAACUGUCGGGAAGCAUAAGCUAUUACUUUUUUCAUCCUGCAUUAAUACACACCCUAAUCCCAACUUAGAGGCAUCAUUGUAUAUCACAAAUUCUUUCCCACCAACAGGAAGUGUUAGAACGAUAAUAGAGGUUAAUCGAUUCUUUAGCUCUAGAAAUCGACUCUCACAAACAUCAUCCCACUCAAACUUAACUCAUUUACGAGUCAGACGAGUCAAAGGAGCAACUAUCAAUGAAAAUCUCCGAACAAAUCUCCGAUAAUAAUCGGCUAAGCCAAGGAAACUGCGAAUCUCAGUUACUGUUCUCGGUUGCUCCCAUUGUAAGAUUGCCUCAAUCUUCUUGAGAUCGACAUAAAUUCCAGCUCCGGACACCACAUGUCCCAAUAAAACCACUUCCUUUAACCAGAACUCAUAUUUAGAGAACUUGGCAUAGAGUUGUUUUUCACGCAAAGUUUGCAACACAAUACGUAAAUGGGCAGCAUGUUCAUCAUCAUUCUUCGAAUAAACCAAGAUGUCAUCUAUGAAUACUAUCACGAACUUAUCUAAGUAUGGAUGGAACACCCUGUUCAUAAGAUCCAUAAAAGCUGUCGGGGCAUUAGUCAAACCAAACGGCAUCACCAGAAACUCAUAAUGCCCAUAACGAGUCCUAAAAGCAGUCUUGGGUACAUCCUGCUCGUUAAUCUUCAACUGAUAAUACCCAAACCUCAAAUCAAUCUUAUAAAACACCAUAGUACCUCGUAAUUGAUCAAAAAGAUCAUCAAUCCGGGGUAGAGGGUAUUUAUUCUUGAUGGUCACUCGGUUCAGUUGACAGUAAUCGAUACACAAUCGAAGAGUGACAUCAUUCUUCUUUACAAAUAGGACUGGUGCUCCCCAAGGAGAAGUGUUAGGGCAAAUAAAAUCCUUUUUCACCAAAUCUUGUAGCUGGACUUUUAAUUCCUUCAACUCUGCCAGAGCCAUUCGAUAUAGAGGGAUAGAAAUAGGUGCGGUACCCGAAAGUAAAUCAAUAGGGAACUCAAGCUCUCGCUCAAGAGGUAGUCCUGGUAAUUCAUCAGAAAAUACAUAAGGAAACUCACUUACUAUUGGUACAUCCUCUAAUUUAGGUUCUUCUUUUGAAGUAUCGAUCACGUGUGCUAAAUAUGUUAGAUACCCUUUCUGUACCAAUUUCAAAGCUUUGAUGGUCGAGAUUACACAGGACUGUAAUACUCGACGUUUCUUUGCAAAAACAAUCUCUGCUCCCUCCGAAUUUCGAAGAACAACUUCUUUCCUGAAACAAUCCACAUUCGCCCGAUGUGCAGUUAACUAGUCCAUACCCAAUAUCAAAUCGAAAUCUUGGAUCUCUAGAGGAAUCAAGUCACCCUUAAAUUCUUCCUCACCAACCAUUACUCCACAAUCUCUAUAACAAUUGUUUCUAACUAGCUUUUCUCCUAAAUGGGUGUGAACUACAAUUUCUUCCUCUAAUAGUGAUAGGUUUCUAUCAGUAAUUGAUGCAAAUGUCAUACUCAUAUAAGACCUAUCUGAGCCAAAAUCUAUCAAAACAUAAGCAUCUUUAUCAAAUAAGGACAUAGUACCUGUCACAGCUCUAGAUCAGACCCGUGCCUCAUUUUUCGUCACAGCGAAAACUCUUGUCGAAGUACGAGUCUGUGGUCUCGAAGGUGGAUAUGUCGGGGUGUUACUCUCUACACCAGACUGUAUAGCUACUCUUUGCCUCGAUGGUAACUUAGAAGGAUCUUUCCUCUGCAUAUCCGUACAAGCUGAUGGAGAUGGAGCAUUUGCAGUAGCCCGUCCUAGCUGUGGGCAAUCACUCCUAAUGUGACCCAGCUGACCAUAAUGAAAACAUCGUAUUGGUCCCCUACACGGCCCAAAAUGAUUCUUCCCACACUUCUUGCAUCUAUCAGAACCUCUAGAACUCUUUCCAGAAGUAGUCAUCGCAGAUACGUUAAAUCUCGGAGGCCUCUGCAGUGUUUGUGAAAAUAGAGGUCAAGGAGAUGUCAUUGAAAUAGAGGUAGUACUCCUUGAAGCAGAUGAGUCUUUGCCCCUUUUUGGUGGCUGACUGGAAGAUAUACUCAUAUUUCUCUUUUUUAUAAACUCAGCUCGCAUUCUCCUAUUUUCAUUUGCAAGCUUCUCGGCGCUUAAAGCCAUCUGUACCACCUCUUUAUGUGGCUCCUUACCAGUCACCGUCAUCCGCUCUCUAAUCUCAUUACGGAGCUCUUCCUUGAAAUAAUUGACUUAAUCUUGCUCAAAUUUCACCAGAUUCGGCACAUAUAACAUCAGCUCGUUAAAACAAGCUUCGUACUCCUCUACAGUUAAAUUUCCCUGUUUCAAACUCAAAAAUUCUCUCUUCUUUUCUUUCUGAUGAAAAUAAGUAAAAUACUAACCAUCAAAUUCUCUUAAAAAGUCUGACCAGGUCGGAGGAGUAGUGGAAUGGGAUUUUACUGAAUUCCACCAUGUACGAGCUCUCUUCUCUAGUAAUCUUGUGGCCACCAUCAACUUCAGGUCAUCAUCCAACCUCAUAUCAGAGAGGGUCUCUGAAACCUGAUUAAUCCAAUCUUUGGCUACGGUUGCGUCCAACUCACUUGUAAAAGAAAUGCAACUUAGUUGUCUAGUCUCCUUCAGCUUCUUAGAAAUAGAUACAUCCUGUACUGGUAGUGGAACUGGAAGUGGGGGUGGUGGUACUGAAGGAGCAACUGGUGGUACUAUAGGAGGAGCCUGACCAAUUUGAGCCUAGCCAGCAAUAGCGGUAAAGAAGGCUGCCAAUGUCUGGAUUGCCUCAAGAGACACGGUAGGAAUACCAGUAGGUGGCAAUGAUGUGAAGAAUGUGGAAGAUGUGGAGGAGUUUCGGCCUGCUCAGCAGUAGGUGCUGCCCGAAUGGUGGACGCAGCCUAUUCCUCCUCUACUACAUCUAGCUGAUGAUGUCGAGAACGACCUCUCCCCCUCCCAGCCGAUCUAGUGAGAGGUGGGUGUUCGCGUUGAGGAGGCAUGAUAAUCUAUAAGAGGAAACAAGCAAGUUUAGGAAACCUCAAGCUCUAUAUGCUAAUGCAUACAUUCUAUUCAACCUAACCUAACUUAACCCGGGGCCACAUUGACACUGUAAAUUUUUAAAACAACUUUUAAACCAAAAGCUCUGAUACCACUUUAAUUGUCACGACCCGAUACUCCUCUCGAGCCCGUGACAACAGUCGUGGUGUCCCGAUAGACACUCAUUACCCGAAAUGCCAACCGGAACCCCGCAAGGCUUUAAUAUCAGUUUUUCAUUUCCCCUAUGAGUAACUGUUACCAAAUAUCAUGUUUUAAAAGAUUUUAAGUUAUUUCCAACUUAAAACAAUAAACAAAUGAUUUCUGUCUCACAGGGGCAUUUUGAUCAUUUUUCUUAAAAAAUUUCGAAACUAGCUAAAAAUGAAGUAUGCGAAUAUAAAACACAUAAUUCAUAAUAAAAAAUAAGUUUAAACAUCUAAAACCUUCAUUUAAAAUGAAAUUAUGACAAUUUGAAUAUAAUAAAAAUAUUCAAUAAAAUAUUCUAUUUUCUUAUAAAACAAUAUUUAUAAAAUUACCGGUAAAUAAUUUUUAUAGGGUAAAAGCUAAAUAAAUUCAUACAUACUGUAAUACAGAUAACCAAAGUAUAAAAUUUAAUUUAUAGUGACACGUGGGCCCUCAAUUGACAAAAGUGAACGAAGGUUAUGAACCUACGAUUUUUGAGGAAGUAAAGCCAAUUGCAGCCUUCGAUGAUAUCAGCUAUCUACAGUCUAUUUUGAGCUUGAAAUGGGUGGAAAGAAGGGUAGUGAAAUUAUAUAAUCCCAGUGAAUAAACAAACACCAUCCAAAAUAUCUAAAGUCGAAUAAAUAGAGACGAUUAAAAUAUUCCAUCUCAAUAUGUAAUUCAUAACAUAAAUAUUCAUUUCAUUUAAAUAAUCAACAUGGCUUAUAAGUAUCUUAAAAGCUUGGCUCUUACCAAAAUCAUUCUCGGGAAUACCUUGGUCGAGUCAUCUAACCGAGUCCGCCAAGGCUGUUAAAAAUUUCGUAUACACGUAAACAUAUUUUUAGUUUGAAAAACACAGCCGUUCCUUGCGUUAGCGAAGUUCAUCAUCAUGAGGUGGUUCGGCGUGACGUGAACUCUAAUCAUACCUCAGGAGAUACCCUACGCACCUUUCUGACCGAGGUACGAAUAUAACCGGAUUC
rnacentral:lncRNA from 1 species